CCCUGGAUCUCGGCUGCCCAGAGGAUGGGGCUGGGCUGAGCAAUCACGUGGUCACCUUCGGCAUCCAAUUGCAUUCGUUUUACCCGGACUGGCUGGUGGCUUGGUUCUGCCUGGGAGGGACUGCUGCUCCACAGCCCUGGAUCCCUGGGUUCUUGAGUUGCAUCCUCACAUCCCUGUGGGUACUGAUGUCACACAUGAACAAUCUUUAAAUGCUGAGAUUCUCCUUAGAAAUCAUUUGGUGGAUUUUAUACUUGUUUGCCGCUUGGAUGCACUUCUCAUCAGGGUUCAACAAGUACUCCUAAGAACAAGGAUUGGAAACAAAGGGACACACUAGGCCUGCUCUUACAACUCACAGGGAGGUUGAAACCAAAGGAUUUUGCAUAAUAAAUACCAUUUAAUUUGUUGGCUACUGUUUAUGUUUAUGUUUACAAGGUGGCAGGUCACCUGGUAUAGAACAUUCCACUUCUUAUUAUCUGCAGUUAUCCAUGGCAUGUGUCUUUGUAGAAAUGUUGGCUUCAUUCAUUCCUGGGGCACCUAGAUGGUGACUGCCACGCAGAGCAUCGUCCUUGUUCCAACAAAUACUUGCCUUUGUGUCCUAUAAAAGUGUAGAACACAGAGGUUGAGCAUUUUGGCUCAGGUCCCCCUCUGCGUGGUAUAGUACCACCUCUUCUUACAAGCUGUGUGACCUUGAACAGAUUACUUAACCUUGCUGUGACUCACAUUUCUCACCUGUAAAGUGGUGAUCGUAGCAGCGCUUUCCUCUCAGGCUUGUUGAGAAGAUUAAAUGUGAUGCACUUGGAAUCAUGCCUGGUAGCGUUAGACCUCAGUAAACAUAGACUGGUAUCACUUCCUCAGAAGGCAAGAAGAAUGUCCCUUUGGAAGAUGAGUCAUCAGAGAAAUUGACAAGCUGACUCUAAAAUGCAUGUGGAAAUGCAAAAGACCUGGAAUAGCCAAACAACUUUAAAACAGAAAGAAGUUGGAGAAGACUGAUUCCAAGCCUUAUUAGAGGGCUACUGCUUCCUUGGAAGGAAACUAUUCAACUAUCGCUGCAUGACUUGUUUUGAAGAACUUUGUGGAUGCACUCAGAAACUGAAGGGACAUGGGACUAGGGAUGAACAGGUCUCAUCCUGACCCUAAGUUUUGGACCAGUAGUUUGCCUUGUGAUAUUAGCAUCUCCAGUGCAUUUAAGAAAAUGACUUAACUUGCUGAUUACAUACUUAGUGAUAUUCUGGCUUUUGUGUUGUAAGAUUGGGAACAACACUCUUUCCAGCUCUCUAGAUCACUGAGCAGAAACUGUAAAUCUAUGGAAUGAAUUUAAGUAAAAAGUAGAGAAGAUGAAAUAAUUCAGUAGUCUAAAAGGGACACUGAAAU